rnacentral:lncRNA from 1 species
UCCACUCCUUACCUUAUGAUUAACAAUCUGGAAAGGCUCUGUUACAUUUAUAAUGCUUGCAUGCAUAUUAAGAAGAAGAAAAAAAUCUUCCUUUCUUGAGAUAAGACUAGGUUUUGACUAACUUUUAUUUUCUGUACAAUCCAUCUCCACCCUUUCAAUGGGACUGCAUUACAGAACAUGCCACUGCCUGUGCCCAAUGCCUCAGCUUUGUCUUAACUUGUUGAGGAUCAUCUCCU